GCAAACACAAUACCAACUAUGCGCACAACAAUCCCAAAUGCGUACAACCGACAAGACUGCAGCAAAUCGGGAAUUGAAAAAAUUUUGAGUUUUCGAAUUGGUCCAGAUUUCACUCCAUUUUCCCAAAAUAUAAUCUAUUUAAGCCAGCGUGUUGGUAGAAUCUCAGCUCAUCUUUUUCCCGUUCGCUGCCCCAACAAAGUUCGCCUCGAACUCUUGCCUCCCCUCUUGCAUUUCGAGUGAGCCGUAAAUGCUCAAAUUCUCCAUUGAAUCUCCUAACCUUUAAAUCGAUGAAAAGAUCCCCCAAAAUUAGAGCAUAUGAAGUCACCUGAAGAGUUGAUGUCGUGCGGCCAAAAGCCAACUUUUUUUAUUUAUUGUUGUACUUUGUUAAAAUUAGGCCUAAGCACUUCAUCUUUGUAUUAUUUUGCUAGAACUUAGGACAAAAUUUAAAUAGGUUAAAAAACCCAAAGUGAAAUGGGUCCAAAUACCAUUUCAGGCGGAUAGAAAUCACAUUUGGACCCAACUCUCUCUCUCUCUAUAUAUAUAUAUAUAUCUCUA